rnacentral:rRNA from 1 species
UACGUAGGGGGCGCGCGUUGUCCGAAGUUACUGGGCGUAAAGCGCGCGUAGGCGGCCCUGUAAGUCCGCUGUGAAAGUCAAAGGCUCAACCUUUGAAAGCCGGUGGAUACUGCAGGGCUAGAGUCCGGAAGAGGCGAGUGGAAUUCCUGGUGUAGCGGUGGAAUGCGCAGAUAUCAGGAGGAACACCGGUGGCGAAGGCGGUUCUCUGGGCAUGACCUGACGCUGAGGAGCGAAAGUGUGGGGAGCGAACAGG